rnacentral:rRNA from 1 species
AUUGAACGCUGGCGGCAGGCCUAACACCUGCAAGUCGAACGAGUGGCGGACGGGUGAGUAAUGUCUGGGAAACUGCCCGAUGGAGGGGGAUAACUACUGGAAACGGUAGCUAAUACCGCAUACCAUCGGAUGUGCCCAGAUGGUAUUAGCUCGUAGGGUGGGUAACGGAUCACCUAGGCGAAGAUCCCUAGCUGGUCUGAGAGGAUGACCAGCCACGCUGGAACUGAGACGCGGUCCAGACUCCGACGGGAGGCAGCAGUGGGGAAUAUUGCACAAUGGGCGCAAGCCUGAUGCAGCCAUGCCGCGUGUAUGAAGAAGGCCUUCGGGUUGUAAAGUACUUUCAGCGAGGAGGCGUUACUCGCAGAAGAGGCACCGGCUAACUCCGUGCCAGCAGCCGCGGUAAUAC